rnacentral:rRNA from 1 species
AACCAGCACCUCAAGUGGUCAGGAUGAUUAUUGGGCCUAAAGCAUCCGUAGCCGGCUCUGUAAGUUUUCGGUUAAAUCUGUACGCUUAACGUACAGGCUGCCGGGAAUACUGCAGAGCUAGGUAGUGGGAGAGGUAGACGGUACUCGGUAGGAAGGGGUAAAAUCCUUUGAUCUAUUGAUGACCACCUGUGGCGAAGGCGGUCUACCAGAACACGUACGACGGUGAGGGAUGAAAGCUGGGGGAGCAAACCGGAUUAGAUACCCGGGUAGUCCCAGCUGUAAACUAUGCAAACUCAGUGAUGCAUUGGCUUGUGGCCAAUGCAGUGCUGCAGGGAAGCCGUUAAGUUUGCCGCCUGGGAAGUACGUACGCAAGUAUGAAACUUAAAGGAAUUGGCGGGGGAGCACCACAAGGGGCGAAGCCUGCGGUUCAAUUGGAGUCAACGCCAGAAAUCUUACCCGGAGAGACAGCAGAAUGAAGGUCAAGCUGAAGACUUUACCAGACAAGCUGAGAGGUGGUGUAUGGCCGUCGCCAGCUCGUGCCGUGAGAUGUCCUGUUAAGUCAGGUAACGAGCGAGAUCCCUGCCUCUAGUUGCCACCAUUACUCUCAGGAGUAGUGGGGCGAAUUAGCGGGACCGCCGCAGUUAAUGCGGAGGAAGGAAGGGGCCACGGCAGGUCAGUAUGCCCCGAAACUCUGGGGCCACACGCGGGCUGCAAUGGUAACGACAAUGGGUUUCGAAUUCGAAAGGAUGAGGUAAUCCUCAAACGUUACCACAGUUAUGACUGAGGGCUGCAACUCGCCCUCACGAAUAUGGAAUCCCUAGUAACUGCGUGUCACUAUCGCGCGGUGAAUACGUCCCUGCUCCU